CGUUUCCAAGAAGUGUUUUCUUAGUGAUUGUUCCUGAUUACAGCUUGGCUUCCCUUCCAGCCUAGCAUAUCGUACAACUCCCAGACACUCCUAGCACUUACAGGGGCCUUUGCAAGUGAGGGGCAUUGACAUUUAAGCUUCAAUAGUUUCAGGGUAAAUCUGCCUCUGGGCAGAGCAGAUGUCAGAGAAAGGAGCUAAAUGGUCCCGAGAAGCAGGAGAAUGAGAGAUUAUAAGGGCAGAGAGUCAGUUAAAAAAAAAAAA
rnacentral:lncRNA from 10 species